rnacentral:rRNA from 1 species
CCUGAGAGUGGCGAACGGGGGAGCAAUGUAUCCGAACGUGCCCCGUCGUGGGGGAUAACGUACUGAAAAUUACGCUAAUACCGCAUACCAUCCUAUGGAUGAAAGCGGGGGAUCGCAAGACCUCCCCCGAUUGGAGCGGCCGAUAUCAGAUUACGUAGUUGGUGGGGUAAAGGCUCACCCACCCCACGAUCUGUAGCUGGUCUGAGAGGACCACCACCCCCACUGGAACUGAGACCACGUCCCGACUCCUACUGGAGGCAGCAGUGGGGAAUUUUGGAUAAUGGACGCAAGUCUGAUCCCCCCAUCCCGCGUGCAGGAUGAAUGCCUUCCGGUUGCACACUGCUUUUCGUACCGAACGAAAAAGCUCUUAUUAAUUCUAUGAGCCCCUGACGGCACCG